rnacentral:rRNA from 1 species
CAAACUGAAGAUGGCGACCGGCGCACGGGUGAGUAACACGUAUCCAACCUGCCGAUAACUCCGGAAUAGCCUUUCGAAAGAAAGAUUAAUACCGGAUAGUAUACGAAUAUCGCAUGAUAUUUUUAUUAAAGAAUUUCGGUUAUCGAUGGGGAUGCGUUCCAUUAGUUUGUUGGCGGGGUAACGGCCCACCAAGACUACGAUGGAUAGGGGUUCUGGGAGGAAGGUCCCCCACAUUGGAACUGAGACACGGUCCAA